rnacentral:lncRNA from 1 species
AGGUGGCGGAGGGUGUUAGAUGGAUGGCCCAGUGGCCAAAGGGAGGCAUCGAGGGAAGGUGGGGGGGGGAUCCUCUUGGUUCCUUAGAAGCCAAAGUAGCAACGUUUUUGAUCUUAGGAAUCCCCAGAGAUAUCAACUGGAAGGGUGUUUUUGUCAAAACAGAGAAACUAGACCAGGUCAUAGUCCUAUGGCAGGGACAGGAUCAGGGGCCACAGGCUGUGACAAAGCCUAGUUCUCCAGUCCUCCCCUGAAAAGGGGCGGAGAUACCCACGGGCUCGGGUGAGCUCAGAUUCCCCCUUCUAUGUCUCCAAGACAGAAGAACAGCAAAAUAUGCCUGGUCUAACCUCGAAGGAUGCGAGAGCUAAGAGGUACAUGAAGAAGCUGGACAAAGACAUUGGAUUCCCUGGAGUUGGAGUUACUGCAGACUGUGAGCCUCCUGGCAAUGGAAACCAAACUUUGGACCUCUGAAAGAUCAGGAAGUGAUCUUAAUGGCUGAUGUGCAUCACAGGCUGGGGACCAAUGUCCAAGACUAUGUGGACCAUCUCAAACCACCUAUGUACUUAUAAUGACAGCAAGCAAACGCAGGUGUGAGCCAGUGGCUCACAUGCUGGGCAAAUGCUCUCCCCGGCUUGUUUUUGGAAACAUGUUUCAUUAAGUUGUCCAGCCUGACAUUGAACUCAUUCUGUAGGUCUUUAAUUAAUAAGGAUACUGUGAAUUACA